GACGAACGCUGGCGGCGUGCCUAAUACAUGCAAGUAGGACGCACAGUCUAUACCGUAGCUUGCUACACCAUAGGCUGUGAGUUGCGAACGGGUGAGUAACGCGUAGGUAACCUGCCUAUUAGAGGGGGAUAACUAUUGGAAACGAUAGCUAAUACCGCAUAACAGUAUGUAACACAUGUUAGAUGCUUGAAAGAUGCAAUUGCAUCGCUAGUAGAUGGACCUGCGUUGUAUUAGCUAGUAGGUAGGGUAAUGGCCUACCUAGGCGACGAAACAUAGCCGACCCUGGAAGGGGAUCGGCCACACUGGGACUGAGACACGGCCCAGACUCCUACGGGAGGGAGCAGUAGGGAAGCAUUGGCAAUGGGGGGAACCCUGACCGAGCAACGCCGCGGGAGGGAAGAAGGGUUUCGGAUCGGAAAGCUCUGUUGUUAAGGAAGAACGAGUGUGAGAAUGGAAAGUUCAUACUGUGACGGUACUUAACCAGAAAGGGACGGCUAACUACGUG
rnacentral:rRNA from 1 species